AAGCUCUUCUGGAGCUUUUUUUCGUACCUUCUUGACUUGAAAUUCUUGUUUAUUAUUAAAAAAUGAGCUAUAAUAAAGCAUAGCACUUAAUUUUAGAAAGAAGGUGUAAGU
rnacentral:sRNA from 28 species